rnacentral:rRNA from 1 species
UACGAAGGGGGCGAGCGUUGUUCGGAAUUACUGGGCGUAAAGGGCGCGUAGGCGGCCCCUUUUGUCGCGUGUGAAAGCCCCGGGCUCAACCUGGGAGGUGCGCGCGAAAACGGGGGGGCUUGAGUUCGGGAGAGGAGCGUGGAAUUCCCAGUGUAGAGGUGAAAUUCGGUAGAUAUUGGGAAGAACACCGGUGGCGAAGGCGGCGCUCUGGACCGAGACUGACGCUGAGGCGCGAAAGCGUGGGGAGCAAACAGG